GCUCAGAGUGAACGCUGGCGGUAGGCCUAACACAUGCAAGUCGACGGCAGCACAGUAAGAGCUUGCUCUUAUGGGUGGCGAGUGGCGGACGGGUGAGGAAUACAUCGGAAUCUACCUUUUCGUGGGGGAUAACGUAGGGAAACUUACGCUAAUACCGCAUACGACCUUCGGGUGAAAGCAGGGGACCUUCGGGCCUUGCGCGGAUAGAUGAGCCGAUGUCGGAUUAGCUAGUUGGCGGGGUAAAGGCCCACCAAGGCGACGAUCCGUAGCUGGUCUGAGAGGAUGAUCAGCCACACUGGAACUGAGACACGGUCCAGACUCCUACGGGAGGCAGCAGUGGGGAAUAUUGGACAAUGGGCGCAAGCCUGAUCCAGCCAUACCGCGUGGGUGAAGAAGGCCUUCGGGUUGUAAAGCCCUUUUGUUGGGAAAGAAAAGCAGUCGGCUAAUACCCGGUUGUUCUGACGGUACCCAAAGAAUAAGCACCGGCUAACUUCGUGCC
rnacentral:rRNA from 1 species